rnacentral:tRNA from 1 species
GCCCAGAUAGCUCAGUCGGUAGAGCAAAGGACUGAAAAUCCUUGUGUCGGCAGUUCGAUUCUGCCUCUGGGCACCA